AAGAACGCAGCAACUGUGCGUCAUCGUGUGAACUGCAGGACACAUGAACA
rnacentral:rRNA from 1 species